AAAGGACCUGGUGGCGCUGGUUGACAGUGGCUGAACAUGUGCUGUCAGUGUGCCCAAGUGGCCCAGAAGGCCAAUAGCAUCCUGCCCUGUAUCAGCAAUAGUGUGGCCAGCAGGACCAGGGCAGUGAUUGUCCCCCUGUACACGGCACUGGUGAGAUCACACAUCAAAUCCUGUGCUCAGUUUUGGACUCCUUUCUACAAGAAAAACACUGAGGUGCUGGAGAGUGUCCAGAGAAGAGCAACAGAGCUGGGGAAGGGGCUGGAGCAGAAGUCUUAAAAGGAGUGACUGAGAGAGCUGGGGCUGUUUAGCCUGAACACUCAGAGACUCAGGGAGACCUUAUGGCUCUCUACAACUGCCUGAAAGGAGGCUGAAGGGAGGCUUGCUGAUGGAAUUGGCUAUUCAUAAACUCAAAAAAACAUGCCAGAUGGGAAGAGAAGACUGACAAGCCAACUCAGAGGCUUCUGGAGGGUGACAUGGAGGUAACUACGUUGAAGCGACAGGUGUUACUGUUAUAACACCUGUGAACCCGAAAUCAAGGCAGCAAAGCUGACCAAGCAGCUGUAACACUCAUUCAAACUUCCACAUCUGGCAAUGGCAUGCUCAACUGGCCCCCUUCUCCAAGGGCAUUUUGGUAAAAAACUUCUUCGCUCUGUGCCAUCUGAGACCUGACAGUCCUGAAAAGGCCCUGUGAAGCCAAGUUCCAAGAUCUACACUGUCCCCUGCCUUCCUGUGCAGGAAGAGUGUCCUGCAUCCUUCCUGGAUGACAGUGCUUCCCCUGAGAAGUGUUUGUCUUCCCAAGGCAAAAGAAAGGACCAACCUGCCAGAGACCACUGGUGUUUUUCCAACAGUGCUAAUAAAGACUUUAUUUCUCCAAUGUAAGCAUGAGCCAACACAACAGAAGCACGAGGCGACCAGUGGAGGAUUCAUCUGGCACUUGGGGUGAUGUAACCAUGUCUCUGCUGGGGUGCAUAAGAAGGGCAGGUCCCAGGACUGUGUUCCAAACAUAGGCCGUGUAUUCCAGUGGUGUGCCUGGGCUACAGUGCCCUUGGAAAGUUGUGAGUAGCACCUGUAUUUGGCACAACUGGUCAGAAAAACAAAGAAAGGCUGUGGCAGUGCAUGGCAAAAGAGGUAAAUAGAGAUCUGGCUCUAGGUAAUUACAAGGGAGGAUCCAAAGUCAUCACUCAGUGCAGUAAACCGCACUGCAAUAUAAUUAGAGAAUUACAGAAUCAAUUUAGUUGGAAAAGACCUUGACAUCAUCAAGUUCAACCUAUGACCAAACACCACCAUGUCAACUAGACCAUGAUACUAAGUGCCACAUCCAGUCUUUCCUUAAACACCUCCAGGGAUGGUGACUCCACCACCUCCCUGAGCAACCCACUCCAAUGCCCAAUCACUCUUUUUGGGAAGAAAUUCUUCCUAAGUUCCAACCUAAACCUCCCCUAGUGUAGUUUAAGACUGUAUCCUCUCCUCCUGCCACCAGUUGCCUGGGAGAAGAGGACAACCCUCAUCUGGCUACAAUCACCUUUCGGGCACUUGAAGAGAGUGAUAAGGUCUCCCCUAUGUUUCCUUUUCUCCAGGCUAAAUAAUCCCAGCUCCCUCAGCUGCUCCUCACAGGGCUUGUGCUCCAGACCCCUCACCAGCUUUGUUGCCCUUUUCUGGACAAGCUCCAGUCCCACAAUGUUCUUCUUGAGUUGAAGGUUCGAGGUGUGGCCUCACCAGUAUCGAGUGCAGAGGGACAAUCAUUGACCUGGUUCUGCUGGCCACUCUGUUGCUGGCAUACACCAGGAUGCCAUUGGCCUUCUUGGCCACCUGGGCACUUGUUUGGCUUCUGUCAACCAGCACCCCAGGGUCCUUUUCUGCUGGGACACUUUCCAACCUCUUUGCCCCCAGCUUGUAAGAAAUUCAUGCCCAGAAUUUCCUAUUUCUUAGGCAGUUUGGCCAGGAUUUUCUUGCGCUGAUUUAUGUGCCAGAAACUUUAUUAAAUAUCUAAUGCUUCAACAUUGCUAAUGAAUUGUGAUUAAAACCAUUCUCAGGCACUGAAGCUCAUAUUCACAUUAUUAAAGUCUCUCACCUUCCAGAAUAGAUUGGGUGCUCACAAAUUACCUCUUAGGAGUGGCCAUGGAUUGGUCUUAAGCCCCAAACCAUGCCCAAAAACUGUUUUGGAGAGUGAUAUUUGUCUUAGCCUGAAGUGGGGACACAUAUUUUCUGAUAACAGAGAGGUCUGAGUGUCCUUGUCUAGGGACACCCCAGCACCUUCACCAGUAGAGAUACAGCCUGCCAUUGAUUCAUUUAAUUCAUUUUCUUUCCCUCAGUAUUUAAAUCUCUCCUUCUUCUGAGCAAUAUUGGCCUCUUUCUAUAGGGAGUGAUCAUCAGGAAUAAAACUGCCAUCUGUAGAAAUUA